UUCUGGUUGAUCCUGCCAGAGGUCACUGCUAUCGGUGUCCGAUUAAGCCAUGCGAGUCGAGAGGUGUAAGACCUCGGCAGACUGCUCAGUAACACGUGGAUAACCAGCCCAAGGGUCCGGGAUAACCCCGGGAAACUGGGGAUAAUACCGGAUGGGUCACCAGUGCAGGGAUGCUUGGUGGUCGAAAGGUGACGCCUUUGGAUGGGUCUGCGGCGGAUUAGGUUGACGCCGGUGUAACGUACCGGCGUGCCUGUAAUCCGUACGGGUUGUGGGAGCAAGAGCCCGGAGAUGGAUUCUGAGACACGAAUCCAGGCCCUACGGGGCGCAGCAGGCGCGAAAACUCUACAAUGCAGGCAACUGCGAUAGGGGGACAUCGAGUGGCAUCCACCUUGGGUGUCUGUCCAACCGUCUAAAAAACGGUUGUUAGCAAGGGCCGGGCAAGACCGGUGCCAGCCGCCGCGGUAAUACCGGCGGCUCGAGUGGUGGCCGAUAUUAUUGAGUCUAAAGGGUCCGUAGCCGGCUUUGCAAGUCCCCUGGGAAAUCCGGCGGCUUAACCGUUGGGCUUUCAUGGGAUACUACAUUGCUUGGGACUGGGAGAGGUAGGAGGUACUCGGGGGGUAGGGGUGAAAUCCUGUAAUCCUCCGGGGACCACCGGUGGCGAAGGCGUCCUACCAGAACAGGUCCGACGGUGAGGGACGAAAGCUAGGGGCACGAACCGGAUUAGAUACCCGGGUAGUCCUAGCCGUAAACGAUGCCCGCUAGGUGUCACGACGGUCGUGAAUCGUCGUGGUGCCGUAGGGAAGCCGCGAAGCGGGCCACUUGGGAAGUACGGCCGCAAGGCUGAAACUUAAAGGAAUUGGCGGG
rnacentral:rRNA from 1 species